AUCGCUCAUGUCGGUCUUUCUCUUCAAAUACUUUCUCCAAAAUUUACCAGAAUUACCGAGAACUUCCCCAAAGUGUUAGUUAGGGUCACACCUGAUCGUGGGUUAUAUGUAGUUUUUUCCCCCGGGAACGGACAGGAAAUUCCAGGUAAAUUGAUGUCAAGUGACGUAAUUCUACGCCAUUGUCCGUCGUAAUAAAAUCACAAUUUAGUCUACUUCUGUCGUCUUACCUACUAACUAUGACAUCAUCUGAAACGAGGUCUUUGAGCCUUCGUCUGCUGUGACGUCACUGGCUGUCGUUUGAUGUUUCUAUUGACAUUUCAGAUAAAGAAAUGCAUCAGAGGAGAAUACGUCACUGAUACUUAGAAAGACUCACUUUAACGGUUGUUUCUUAUUGUGUGGAUUAUUUUACUUAUUUAUUUUUGUCUAAAUAUAAUUUACUUGCUGUACAAAUUAUGUUGCAGGUGUUUUCUCUUUUAUUUAUAAUGUUAUUUCUGUAAAUACUUUGAAGGUCGCUUUACUGCUGUAUUUCUUGGGUGCUUUUUUUGGCUGCAGAUAAAAGAAUUUCCCCAUCGUGGGAUAAAUAAAGUUAUCCAUCAUCUAUCUGAGCACAUGUGAGGUAGAGGCGUGCACACAAACACGCGUGUAGAGAAAUGGAGGCUCUGCAGGAAUUGCCCCGUCUGCUCUGUUCUGUCGUCUGCAGGAAUUGCCCCGUCUGCUCUGUUAUGUCGUCUGCAGGAAUUGCCCCGUCUGCUCUGUUCUCUCGUCUGCAGGAAUCGCCCCGUCUGCUCUGUUCUGUCGUCUGCAGGAAUCGCCCCGUCUGCUCUGUUCUGUCGUCUGCAGGAAUCGCCCCGUCUGCUCUGUUCUGUCGUCUGCAGGAAUCGCCCCCGUCUGCUAUGUUCUGUCGUCUGCAGGAAUCGCCCCGUCUGCUCUGUUCUGUCGUCUGCAGGAAUUGUCCGUCUGCUCCGUUCUCUUAUCUGCAGGAAUUGUCCCGUCUGAUCCGUUCUUUCGUCUGCAGGAAUCGCCCCGUCUGCUCUGUUUUGUCGUCUGCAGGAAUUGCCCAGUCUGCUCUGUUGUCGUCUGCAGGAAUUGCCCCGUCUGCUCCGUUCUCUCGUCUGCAGGAUUCGCCCCGUCUGCUCCGUUCUCUCGUCUGCAGGAAUUGCCCCGUCUGCUCCGUUCUCUCGUCUGCAGGAAUCGCCCCGUCUGCUCUGUUCUGUCGUCUGCAGGAAUCGCCCCGUCUGCUCCGUUCUGUCGUCUGCAGGAAUCGCCCCGUCUGCUCUGUUCUGUCGUCUGCAGGAAUCGCCCCGUCUGCUCUGUUCUGUCGUCUGCAGGAAUCGCCCCGUCUGCUCCGUUCUCUCGUCUGCAGGAAUUGCCCCGUCUGCUCUGUUCUGUCGUCUGCAGGAAUCGCCCCGUCUGCUCCGUUCUCUCGUCUGCAGGAAUCGCCCCGUCUGCUCUGUUCUGUCGUCUGCAGGAAUCGCCCCGUCUGCUCCGUUCUGUCGUCUGCAGGAAUCGCCCCGUCUGCUCUGUUCUGUCGUCUGCAGGAAUCGCCCCGUCUGCUCUGUUCUGUCGUCUGCAGUAAUUGCCCCGUCUGCUCUGUUCUGUCGUCUGCAGGAAUUGCCCCGUCUGCUCCGUUCUCUCGUGGGGCAGCAGUACUAACCACCACACAGGCCUACAGUGUUUUCCUGCUCAGACUUUGCCAACAGGCUGAGCUGGAACCUCAUCUGCUCAGCUUUUCUCUCUGAAUCUUCUCUGAUUUUUCCAGAUCAUUUGCUUCUGGACUCCAGCAGCUGUAGUCGUAAGCGAGGAGACGAGGACGCGUCUCCAACCGGAGUAACUGGAACACGCUGGUGGAGUCUCAGAGGAAGAGGACUCUGGAUUUCUGUGGGGUUUGUUGUCACGGCGACGCUUUCUUGUGAGAAUUCAUGCCUCACAUCAAACUCCGGCUGGAACCGGUUUCCUGCAUCGCCAGCGACAGACAGAAACGGGUCAAACGAACCACAAGCAACGUUUUUCUCUGAGGUUUGGGAUCAGGAGCGUGGAAGUGAUCCUGGCUGGAGGAAGGAGAGCAGAAUCAGACCAGCCUGAGGAUCCACAUGACUUCAGUCCCAUCAAGUCUGAAAAAGGGAAGCCUGAGUAAAAGACUGGACCAGAGACCGCCGCCAGGACCCUUCUGGAAGGCCGCCGCCAGGACCCUUCUGGAAGG